UUGAAUCUUGUCUCUCUGACUCUCUGUCAGUGUCAGUGGAAGCGUGGAUUUUGAGAGAAAAGUGACGACAUUAAUGUCCUUUAAUGGGAGUUUUCAGUUUUGAUGCUAGCUACAUUGCUUCGUAGAUGUAUUUAUAUUUGUGAUGGGUUGACGACGGAGAGUGCGAUUAGCUUUUUUUCUACGUAGAUUGAGCACCUUUUAAAGUAUGGAACUUCACUUCAACCCACGGCCCCCAAUUUUGUGUUUGAGAGUCGACAAUGUGCAGUAGUUUUUCAGCCGGUUUCCAGUUUUGGUGUUAUCCUGGAUUGUGUUGAUAGUCUAUGAUUUACACUGGGUAAACUUUGUGGCCAUCAGAUAUUCAGAUGGUGAAGGAUGUCAUCAAGUUCAGUUGUUGCACGAAGUCUGUGGUGCCGGUGUUAUCCUAGAGUGUGGGACAGUAGAACGAGCUUUACACCCAAAUUAAAGGCAGUCUCUCUCUGUAUUGAUUGACUGAAAUUUGCAUGUUGAUAAAAUUAAUUGAAUGCAGGUUAGAUAUUUAUAUGUGUGAUUAGGUAUGAUAAACAUAUGUACAAACUAAUGUCGAUAAGACCUUGUGUCGAUCGAAGCAUCGAACCUUGUGAAUGUUACACUUCCCAUAAGAAAUAUUAAUUAAAUGUCAACUCAUAUAAUCCAACUUGUUUCUUCAUCUUUUCCAACCUGUUUUCAAACCUACAAGACCCACAUUGCAUGUAAUCAAAUUAAACACAAGUCCCGUAUGUCGAUUAAGUGUUUAAUAAACAGGUGCCGUGUUGCACUGUUGCUCUCUCAAA
rnacentral:lncRNA from 1 species